rnacentral:rRNA from 1 species
UGACAGGUGGUGCAUGGUUGUCGUCAGCUCGUGUCGUGAGAUGUUGGGUUAAGUCCCGGCAACCGAGCGCAACCCUCGACCUUAGUUGCCAGCAUUCAGUUGGGCACGUCUAAGGUGACUGCCGGCUAAAAGUCGGAGGAAGUGGGAUGACGUCAAAUCAUCAUGCCCCUUAUGACCUGGGCUACACACGUGCUACAAUGGGCGGUACAAAGGGUCGCGAACCCGCGAGGGGGAGUCGAAUCCCAAAAAGCCCGCUCUCAGUUCGGAUUGCAGGCUGCAACUCGCCUGCAUGAAGCCGGAAUCGCUAGUAAUCGCGGAUCAGCAUGCCGCGGUGAAUACGUUCCCGGGCCUU